rnacentral:rRNA from 1 species
UACGAAGGGGGCUAGCGUUGCUCGGAAUCACUGGGCGUAAAGGGUGCGUAGGCGGGUCUUUAAGUCAGGGGUGAAAUCCUGGAGCUCAACUCCAGAACUGCCUUUGAUACUGAGGAUCUUGAGUUCGGGAGAGGUGAGUGGAAUUCCCAGUGUAGCGGUGAAAUGCGUAGAUAUUGGGAGGAACACCAGUGGCGAAGGCGGCUCACUGGACCGGUACUGACGCUGAUGCGCGAAAGCGUGGGGAGCAAACGGG